AAUCAACGCUGGCGGCGUGCCUCAGACAUGCAAGUCGAACGCGAAAUCUCCCUUCGGGGAGAAAGUAGAGUGGCGCACGGGUGAGUAACACGUAGGUAAUCUACCUUUGGAUGGGGAAUAACACCGAGAAAUCGGUGCUAAUACCGCAUAAUGCAGCGGCACCUAAUGGUGACAGUUGUUAAAGCGGGGGAUCGCAAGACCUCGCGUCUAAAGAGGAGCCUGCGGCGGAUUAGCUAGUUGGUAAGGUAUUGGCUUACCAAGGCAACGAUCCGUAACCGGCCUGAGAGGGCGGUCGGUCACACUGACACUGACAUACGGGUCAGACUCCUACGGGAGGCAGCAGUCGGGAAUUUUGGGCAAUGGGCGAAAGCCUGACCCAGCAACGCCGCGUGAAGGAUGAAAUCCCUCGGGAUGAAAACUUCGCAAGAACGGGAAGAAUAAGCCGGUGCAAAAUAUCACCGGCGAUGACGGUACCGUUUGUAAGCUCCGGCUAACUCCGUGCCAGCAGCCGAC
rnacentral:rRNA from 1 species